GCAAAUUAGGAAGCCAGAAUUUUAGAAAGAUCCAUGAUGAGGUUGGCGACCAUGAUGUCAACCAAUUACAAAUUCAACAAAAUUCAUCAUCGCCACAAGACCUUGUUAUUGAUUCUGUGCCAGAGGUGAGGGAAAUGAGGGAUCUUACAGGUGAAUCUGUUUCAACACAGAACCAGCAGGGGAAUAGAACUGAACACCCAGACCCAGCUAGCUCAAAAAGAAGGUGUACUUCUUCCA